GGAAAGUAUCAAGCAACCUUAAUAAAAUCAAACAAUAAAAUAAUAAGAAAUCAUAAAAUUCAUUAUUUGAACAUUCGUUGUUAUUUAACACAGAAAGCAAGAGACAUUGAAGAAAAUAUACGUUAGUUAAAAUUUAAAGCACUUCAAAUGUUGUUUGUUUUGAAAUAAGACUAUUCUUGACAUAAUGAAUUCCUCUUCACAUUUGCAGUGAAGCAGAUGUCUGCUUUCUGUCUCUGACAGGGGACCCAAUCCAUUGCUUUUUGACGUCAAUAGCACUGUGGCUUUUUUCAAGGGCAUGCAUAUAUCUUGUCAAUGUGGCUUAACAAGCCUGCAUCACUUCUCUGCUGUGGUCUUGCACAGUGUAGCAGGCUUCAGGAAGCACUGUACUUUGUGGCCAAGCAGACUUAGCAUAAAGGAAGGAAGGUGGAUAAAAUAUGUGAAUUUCAAGAGAAAAGACUUCAGAGACUCAUGUCAAAAAUGGUAAUGCUAUAGGAUACAGUGAGAAAUUAGAAAGUCAUAGAAGCCCCCAGUUCAGUAUGAGAAGGAUCUUACUGUCCGUUCCCUUCCUGUCAUAGGUGCAUUAUUUGAUAAGUAAUGUUGAAAAGUAAGGAGAGACUCUGUCUCAGGACCUUGGCUUUUUGUAUAAGUGGAACCAGAAAUAAAUAUGGGGAAAAGUGGAAGAGUGAUGUAUUC
rnacentral:lncRNA from 1 species